UUUUUAAUUUGGAAUUUUUUUCAAUUUAAUUGAAACAAAUGUUUUCUAACUAUUACUAAGUGGUGCUAACAAGAUAAAAAAAAAAAAAAGAAUUACAAAACAGAGAGAAGGAUAUAUAGAGAUAGAGGCUUGAUUUGCAUUUAAUAAUUAAGGUGAAAAAUACAAAUUGAUUUAUUAUUUGUCUGCAAUUAAUCUACUGGCUCCCCUUUAAUGUCUUUGACUGGUUUAAUAGUUUGCAUUUAUUUAUCAUAAAAGAAGGUAUUAAUAUUGUAUAACCAUUAUCGAUAUAUAGUAAGAAUGGACCACAACUAGAACUUGUCUGAUCGAGAUUAAAUCGGAUAUGGUAAUAUGAAUGUGACCUUCUUGUUCAUCGAUUGUAUGGUGUUUUAUCAAAGAUGGAAUCAUAGCAAAGGCGUAGCCAAGUUUAAAAUAUAUGUAGCUGCCCAUUCCCCGACUAUAACUCAUACAAUUCUUAAACAAAAUCAUGGAAAUUGCGACAUAAUGGCUGA